CGGCCACAUUGGGACUGAGACACGGCCCAAACUCCUACGGGAGGCAGCAGUAGGGAAUCUUCCACAAUGGACGCAAGUCUGAUGGAGCAACGCCGCGUGAGUGAAGAAGGCUUUCGGGUCGUAAAACUCUGUUGUUGGAGAAGAAUGGUCGGCAGAGUAACUGUUGUCGGCGUGACGGUAUCCAACCAGAAAGCCACGGCUAACUACGUGCCAGCAGCCGCGGUAAUACGUAGGUGGCAAGCGUUAUCCGGAUUUAUUGGGCGUAAAGCGAGCGCAGGCGGUUUUUUAAGUCUGAUGUGAAAGCCCUCGGCUUAACCGAGGAAGUGCAUCGGAAACUGGGAAACUUGAGUGCAGAAGAGGAC
rnacentral:rRNA from 1 species